rnacentral:rRNA from 1 species
AGAGUUUGAUCCUGGCUCAGAACGUACGCUGGCGGCACGCCUAACACAUGCAAGUCGAACGCAGUAGCAAUACUGAGUGGCAAACGGGUGAGUAUAAUGUGGGAAUCUACCUUUUGGUCUGGAAUAACACGAGGAAACUUGUGCUAAUACCGGAUAAGCCUUUACAGGGAAAGUUUUAAUGCCAAAAGAUGAGCCCGCACUUGAUUAGCUAGUUGGUAAGGUAAUAGCUUACCAAGGCAACGAUCAAUAGCUGUUCUUAGAGGAAGACCAGCCACAUUGGGACUGAGACACGGCCCAAACUCCUACGGGAGGCAGCAGUGGGGAAUCUUGCACAAUGGGGGCAACCCUGAUGCAGCGAUGCCGCGUGAGUGAAGAAGGCCUUUGGGUUGUAAAACUCUUUCGUCGGGGAAGAAAAUGACUGUACCCGAAUAAGAAGGUCCGGCUAACUUCGUGCCAGCAGCCGCGGUAAUACGAAGGGACCUAGCGUAGUUCGGAAUUACUGGGCUUAAAGAGUUCGCAGGUGGUUAAAAAAGUUGAUGGUGAAAUCCCAAGGCUCAACCUUGGAACUGCCAUCAAAACUUUUUAGCUAGAGUAUGAUAGAGGAAAGUGGAAUUUCUAGUGUAGAGGUGAAAUUCGUAGAUAUUAGAAAGAACAUCAAAAGCGAAGGCAACUUUCUGGAUCAUUACUGACACUGAGGAACGAAAGCAUGGGUAGCGAAGAGGAUUAGAUACCCUCGUAGUCCAUGCCGUAAACGAUGUGUGCUAGACGUUGGAAACUUAGUUUUCAGUGUCGCAGCGAAAGCAUUAAGCACACCGCCUGGGGAGUACGACCG